rnacentral:lncRNA from 1 species
UGCCUAAGGUCACCUAGCUAGUUGCCAGGGAACAGAGGCCUGUCACUGGGUCCCAAGCCCAGGCUCUCUCCACGCAACGCCAAUGCCCCUCCCUCCCAUCCCCAACAUAGGAAGCAAUGUUGGGAUACAUACAUGUUAACAUCCUGAGGAUCAUACAGCUCAAAAAUGGACGUGGAGAGAGCUGUGGAGCUCCGAGCCUGUCUGAACUGUUCAGGAAGGACUUAAUAAAAGGGCACUCUAAGAAUGUUGAUGAAAUCAUCAAUAAGAUGUUACGAGCAUAAAGAAUGGAGUUGGUGCCUGAAGUACAGCGGAUGUAUGUGUGUAAAGUUUCUAUGUGAAUCUGCUGGAUUUCAAAGUAAGUUGUGGAUAUUAUGACACUUCAACCCUAAAGAUUUCUGCAUGCAUCUCCUACAAAUAUGGACAUUCUCCUGUAUGACCACAAUGCCGUUAUUAUGCCUAAGAACCAAAGCCAGUUGAUUACAUCUCCCCAGUAUGUCUCCAAUUUAGCCGCUUUUCUUCAGGCCACAAGUUUCCUGUAUCUUCAAGAGUGCAAUCAUCUCCUAACGGUUCCUCCUUCAAUCCACGCUCCACGCUGCUGCAAAGAGAACUUUCGACAGUGGAGAUCUGAUUAUGUCACUUCCCUACUUCAGACUUUCCAAUGGUUUUGCAUUACCUUCAAAAUAAAGAAUAAACUUCACACGGCAGACAGAGCCUUCAUCAUCCAGAUUCAUCUAGAGCAG